rnacentral:rRNA from 1 species
UACGUAGGGUGCGAGCGUUGUCCGGAAUUAUUGGGCGUAAAGAGCUCGUAGGCGGCCUGUCGCGUCGGUUGUGAAAGCCCCGGGGGCUUAACCCCCGGGUCUGCAGUCGAUACGGGCAGGCUAGAGUUCGGUAGGGGAGAUCGGAAUUCCUGGUGUAGCGGUGAAAUGCGCAGAUAUCAGGAGGAACACCGGUGGCGAAGGCGGAUCUCUGGGCCGAUACUGACGCUGAGGAGCGAAAGCGUGGGGAGCGAACAGG